rnacentral:snRNA from 1 species
AUCAUGUUUUAUUUGGCCGAC